rnacentral:lncRNA from 1 species
UUCCUGGUUUUGUUUUGAUUGCCCAAUGAUAACAAAGAGGAUAAAAUUAAGGAUAGGCCCUUAUCGUCAUCCCACUCAUCCAUUCAUCUCCAUGCAAACAAAAAGUUUGUUUCUCUUUGCCACUUCUCCGAUUCAAUAAUAAAAUUGGAGCAGAAGCUAGCAAUGACCUUUGAGGUGAGUGAUACGACAGACAAUGGGAUUGUCUUUGCCAUGGCAAGUUAACAAAAUCCUUCCUUAAUGGAUGAUGAGAUCCACAUCCAAGAUUCUUGAUUUUGAUGGCCUGAGUGAUCCUCUAGAACAGUCCUCUUGACGGCGACUCGGGGGAGGCCAUGCAUGCAUGUCUAGGUGUGCUUUUGUUGUAUAUUAUCACAAAAGCUAAAAUAGCUUUUUGUUGGCUAAAUAAUCACUCGGUUUUGUUUAUGGGGCAAGGAGAUAGUUUUUUUAAUAGUGCUCGUUGG